rnacentral:rRNA from 1 species
AACGAACGCUGGCGGCAUGCCUAACACAUGCAAGUCGAACGAGACCUUCGGGUCUAGUGGCGCACGGGUGCGUAACGCGUGGGAACCUGCCUUUAGGUUCGGAAUAACUCAGAGAAAUUUGAGCUAAUACCGGAUGGUGUCUUCGGACCAAAGAUUUAUCGCCUUUAGAUGGGCCCGCGUUGGAUUAGCUAGUUGGUGGGGUAAAGGCCUACCAAGGCGACGAUCCAUAGCUGGUCUGAGAGGAUGAUCAGCCACACUGGGACUGAGACACGGCCCAGACUCCUACGGGAGGCAGCAGUGGGGAAUAUUGGACAAUGGGCGAAAGCCUGAUCCAGCAAUGCCGCGUGAGUGAUGAAGGCCUUAGGGUUGUAAAGCUCUUUUACCCGAGAUGAUAAUGACAGUAGCGGGAGAAUAAGCUCCGGCUAACUCCGUG